CAGGGCUGUAACUGGGGACACUUAGUGGGUUUAAGUGUAGGAGGUGCCAUGAUAGCUAGUUGAGAGGAGAGAGUGUUGUAGAGGGAGGUUGCAGUGUUAUGGCAGGUGAGAUUUGAGAUUGGUGAAGGGAGACUUUGGAGGUUGGUGGAGAAUUGCUGUAGGUCAAGACAAUGGAGGUUUUUGCGAGACUGAUGUGGUGAGGUUGAGGUACUUUGGGUACGGGGUAUGUGGAUGUCAAUGGACAGCUCAUGGUGGUCAGAUAGAGGAAAUGGAACAUUGAAGAGAUUAGAGGUGGUACAGUGAUUGGUGAAGAUGAGGUCAAGAGUGUUUCCUGCUCUAUGAGUUGAUGAAUUUAGACCACUGUGUGAGUCCAACGGUGGAGGUUAUAGAGAGCAGACGAGAGGCAUCAGGGCAGUUAGU